UACGUAGGAUGCAAGCGUUGUCCGGAAUUACUGGGCGUAAAGGGCGAGCAGGUGGCAAGUCAAGUCUGAUGUAAAAUCUCCCGGCUUAACUGGGAGGGGCCAUUGGAAACUGGCUAGCUGGAGUGCAGGAGAGGCUAACGGAAUUCCCGGUGUAGUGGUGAAAUGCGUAGAUAUCAGGAGGAACACCGGUGGCGAAGGCGGUUCUCUGGGCAUGUUCUGACGCUGAGGAGCGAAAGUGUGGGGAGCGAACAGG
rnacentral:rRNA from 1 species